CAGGAAACAAUCGAUAAGAAAUUCAGUUUACCAAAAACAGCAAACAAAACAGCAGAACCAGAAAAACAAUCGGUUGUUUCACAGAAACAAUCGGUUGUUUAUACCAGCAAACAACAAACAAAGCUGAAAUUAAAGAGUUAAGGAUAGAAAGAUUGCACACAGAUGUUUAUACUGGUUCACUCCAAAUCCAGAGCUACAUCCAG
rnacentral:lncRNA from 1 species